rnacentral:lncRNA from 1 species
UCCACCGCUUUUGAGAUAUUCUUCCACGGCACUUUUGGACAAAGGGGGGAAGCAUGCAGGAUGCAGCAGGAUUAUUUGCUAGAUGCCGAAGGACCCGAUUCACUGAAGGUUCCUCCACCGCACCUUUGCUGCUGCAUGCUAACUUCCUCUGCUAUCGUAUCCAUCCAAAUCCAAGUGUUGAUUUUUACUUAGCCGAUCCCAG